CGGGGCGUAGCGCAGUUUGGUAGCGCACUUGGUUUGGGACCAAGGGGCCGCAGGUUCGAAUCCUGUCGCCCCGA
rnacentral:tRNA from 1 species